rnacentral:rRNA from 1 species
AUUGAACGCUGGCGGCAGGCCUAACACAUGCAAGUCGAGCGGCAGCGGAAAGUAGCUUGCUACUUUGCCGGCGAGCGGCGGACGGGUGAGUAAUGUCUGGGAAACUGCCUGAUGGAGGGGGAUAACUACUGGAAACGGUAGCUAAUACCGCAUAACGUCGCAAGACCAAAGAGGGGGACCUUCGGGCCUCUUGCCAUCAGAUGUGCCCAGAUGGGAUUAGCUAGUAGGUGGGGUAACGGCUCACCUAGGCGACGAUUCCUAGCUGGUCUGAGAGGAUGACCAGCCACACAGGAACGGAGACACGGUCCAGACUCAUACGGGAGGCAGCAGUGGGGAAUAUUGCACAAUGGGCGCAAGCCUGAUGCAGCCAUGCCGCGUGUAUGAAGAAGGCCUUCGGGUUGUAAAGUACUUUCAGCGGGGAGGAAGGUGUUGUGGUCAAUAACCACAGCAAUUGACGUUACCCGCAGAAGAAGCACCGGCUAACUCCGUGCCAGCAGCCGCGGUAA